AGAAUGGCGAUGAACACAGAUGGAUUCAAAUAGUUAAAGAAGCAUUUGGUGAAUUUGUGUCUGAUUGGAGCGCAGAGAGAUUUGUUGAGAGGUAUGCAUCAAGUCCUCUGUUCAAGGAAGAUGGCUUUUUCUUCAUCAGACAUAACAAGAGAUAUGUAGCCACAGCAUUUGCCUGGCAAGACAAAUUGAACUCAUUGGAAGGACGUCUUCAUUGGUUGGCAGUCUUGCCUGAGUAUCACAGACAGGGCUUGGGAAGGGCUCUUGCAUUGCGCGUUCUUCUUUACCAUAAGGAUCAUGGGAAGGAAUCAGUGAGUCUUAUAACAGAGGUGUACAGACAUUCUGCCCUUAAGCUUUACAAAGACAUUGGAUUUGUUUGUAGUGCUGAAGAGACCUGACAAAGCCACUGGCACAAAUUGCCACUGCAUUGGCAAUGUAGGUUUUAUGCUCUGCCACUGGCAUGCACAAGGGAAGGGAAGUGAGAUGCUGGUGCCUGUCUUCAAGCUGGGCUCUAGUCAGCCAUAUGGGCUAAAUUCUGACUUCCAGGUUCUCUGAGCAAAGUGCACAUUUCCAUUUUUUUUUCAAUUAUGUUGAUUCAUUGCAGCGGGUACUAUUUUGCAUAAAACGUAAUAACUUGACCAUUAGACUUCCGUCAAGAAAGGACAAAGCUUGUAAGCUUCGGAAACAGUGAAUUUUUAUAGACCUUCUUGUUUUAUGUAAAUAGAACAAGUUUUUUAUAUCAUAUCCUCCACUUGUUG